rnacentral:misc_RNA from 1 species
AACAAAAUGACGGCUGCUGGGCCAUGUAAUAGCCAGAAACAACAGAAAAGCUUUCAUGGACAAUACAAUCAAUCAAACAAAACACAAAAAAUGGUCUCGGGCAGCAAAAGCAUUACAGAAGCCAUCUGCCUAAUCAAUUAUUCCGAGUUGAAGCCCACGUCAACUUCAAUGAUGAUCUUCGCCAUGGCCAUCCGGAGGGCCUCCUGGACCAACAACCUCUAGCACAAAAUACUGGGAGCACACAGGGCACUCAUGCGGCUUGUCUUUCUCCAGCCAAAACCAUACCACGUCGUGCUCGUCCUCACCUUCGUCACCAGGACAACCAACUAUUCUCUUGUCAUAGACAGACUUAAUGAUAGCAGGUGCUUCCUUGGUGCCAAAGGGACCGCACGGAGCAUCCAUAUCAAACCGUUUCCUCCCCUCCAGUUCAGCCUCGAUCUCCUCCCGCUCAUGACCCGUGGCGAUCGGCAUCACAUCCUCCACCUUCUUCUUCGCCACAGUAGUACCGGUCUCAGUCGAGAAGAAGCGGGAGACUCCCCGGACCGGCGCCGGCGAGGAGUGGACGGGAGCGAGGGCGCCGCCUCCGAGGAGGGGGAUUUGUGGG